UACGUAGGUGGCAAGCGUUGUCCGGAAUUACUGGGCGUAAAGGGCGUGUAGGCGGCUUUUUAAGUCAGAUGUGAAAGAUCAGGGCUUAACCCUGGAACUGCAUUUGAGACUGGAAGGCUUGAGGACCGGAGAGGGCAGUGGAAUUCCCAGUGUAGCGGUGAAAUGCGUAGAUAUUGGGAGGAACACCAGUGGCGAAGGCGACUGCCUGGACGGCACCUGACGCUGAGGCGCGAAAGCUAGGGGAGCAAACGGG
rnacentral:rRNA from 1 species